rnacentral:rRNA from 1 species
AUACAGAGGGUGCGAGCGUUAAUCGGAAUUACUGGGCGUAAAGCGCGCGUAGGCGGCUACUUAAGUCAGAUGUGAAAUCCCCGGGCUCAACCUGGGAACUGCAUCUGAUACUGGGUAGCUAGAGUUUAGGAGAGGGAAGUAGAAUUUCAGGUGUAGCGGUGAAAUGCAUAGAGAUCUGAAGGAAUACCAGUGGCGAAGGCGGCUUCCUGGCCUAAAACUGACGCUGUGGUGCGAAAGCGUGGGUAGCAAACGGGGUUAGAAACCCCAGUAGUCC